GGAUAGCUCAGUCGGUAGGGCAUGAGACUCUUAGUCUCAGGGUUGUGGGUUCGAGCCCCAUGUGGGGCA
rnacentral:tRNA from 1 species